rnacentral:rRNA from 1 species
UACAGAGGGGGCAAGCGUUAUUCGGAAUUAUUGGGCGUAAAGGGCGCGUAGGCGGCUUGGCAAGUGGAAGGUGAAAUCCCUCGGCUUAACCGAGGAACUGCCCUCCAAACUGCUUCGCUUGAGACCGGGAGAGGUGAGUGGAAUUCCCAGUGUAGCGGUGAAAUGCGUAGAUAUUGGGAGGAACACCAGUGGCGAAGGCGGCUCACUGGACCGGUACUGACGCUGAUGUGCGAAAGCGUGGGGAGCAAACGGG